CUUUACCUAUUCUACACCUGAGAGAGGCAUUCAGCUAUGUUCCUUUUAAGAUAAAACAGCCAAAUAGUGAGGUUAAAAGAGUUGAAGUUGGUGGCAGGCUUCACAGGACUGAAAUCUUGAAUCAUCUAGUCACAGGGUUUUGGAUACCGAAUUGCUUUGAAAGUUGAAAGAGGAGGAAGUCAACUAAUACAAGUGAUCUCUUGUAUCUUCAGAUGGCCAGCUAACAAAGUGCUUAAUCAUAUGCAUGUGUACCUUUCCCAAGAGGAGCUUUCAAACAGAAAUACAGUUAUAUAUUUAGUGAAUAUAAUCCAUAGCAGUU